AGGGUUCGAUUCUGGCUCAGGAUGAACGCUAGCGACAGGCUAACACAUGCAAGUCGAGGGGCAGCAUAGAAGUAGCAAUACUUGGUGGCGACCGGCGCACGGGUGAGUAACGCGUAUGCAACCUACCUAUCAGGAGGGGAAUAACCCGGCGAAAGUCGGACUAAUACCGCAUAAAACAGGGGCACCGCAUGGUGAUAUUUGUUAAAGAAAUUCGCUGAUAGAUGGGCAUGCGUUCCAUUAGGUAGUUGGUGAGGUAACGGCUCACCAAGCCGACGAUGGAUGGGGAACUGAGAGGUUGGUCCCCCACACUGGUACUGAGACACGGACCAGACUCCUACGGGAGGCAGCAGUGAGGAAUAUUGGUCAAUGGGCGGGAGCCUGAACCAGCCAAGUCGCGUGAAGGAAGAAGGAUCUAUGGUUCGUAAACUUCUUUUGCAGGGGAAUAAAGUGCAGGACGUGUCCUGUUUUGUAUGUACCCUGAGAAUAAGGAUCGGCUAACUCCGUGCCAGCCGCCGC
rnacentral:rRNA from 1 species